CCAAUAGCGUAUAUUAAAGUUGUUGCAGUUAAAAAGCUCGUAGUUGAAUUCCGGGAUCAGUAGGUUGGUCAUACCUCUGGUAUGUACUGGUCUCACUGAUUCCUCCCUCUUGAAGAACUGUAAUGUCAUUAAUUUGAUGUUGCGGGGAAUCAGGACUGUUACUUUGAAAAAAUUAGAGUGUUUAAAGCAGGCCAACGCUUGAAUACAUUAGCAUGGAAUAAUGAAAUAGAACGUAUGAUCCUAUUUUGUUGGUUUCUAGGAUUGACGUAAUGAUUAAUAGGGAUAGUUGGGGGCAUUAGUAUUCAAUUGUCAGAGGUGAAAUUCUUGGAUUUAUUGAAGACUAACUACUGCGAAAGCAUUUGCCAAGGAUGUUUUCAUUAAUCAAGAACGAAAGUUAGGGGAUCGAAGACGAUCAGAUACCGUCGUAGUCUUAACCAUAAACUAUGCCGACUAGGGAUCGGAUGAUGUUAAUUUUUUAAUGACUCAUUCGGCGCCUUACG
rnacentral:rRNA from 1 species